AGCCAGACACUGCGGUCCACACCUUGAACCAGCACUUGGGAGGCUGAGGUAGGAGCGCUAAGAGUUUGAGGUCCCCCUGGGGUCACUUAGCAAGACUUUUGUCUCAGAACAACAGAAUAUUUAUUUAAGGGCCAGCUGAUUCCAGAACUGUGGUCAAGAGCAAACCCAUGGGGCAGAGGUUUCACCUGAGGCCUGAGGCAUCCAACAAGAGAACUGCCAGGAAGGCCUUGGUAAGGAUCUUUCUUUCCUGCUAGCCAUGUUUUUAGGGAUGUACGAGGCUUUGUUCAAAUCAUUAGUUUCAGCUGACAGUGGCAUGUAGCCACCCAGCUGAGGCCACUGAUUGGCUGUGAUAGUCUUGUCAUUCACGUUUACUUCAUCCGCUCAAAACAACACGCAACACCCACCACACUCCCCCUCCCCAUGUUCCACAGCUAAGGAAAAUUCACUCGACAGCUCUUAAUCUUGAAACAAUGAAGGAAAGGGGGGCGGGUAACAUAGCCUUGCCUUUAAGGUUGUCGCUGUCAACCAGGGGGACACUUUGUCCAUUAACCCACAUAAGAUGUGAUAGGGUGGGUCUCGAUUUCCACGAAACUACUUAGCUCGCCCACACAUAAGGCUAAUUUACAGUCGCUCUGCAAACGACACCCCCUGAGAAGGCAGGAAUAUCGGAUUCUGCUGUCACCAGUCUUCAUGUGUGGCGCUUCAGGGGACUCUUCUACCCCAGAUAGUAGAAAAGGUUACCUCUGCUGAUCUGCCUGACUAUGUACCUGAGGUAUUUGUAGUGCCGGGGGAAUGGAGCUGUUUUAAAGGCACGCAGUUAAAAGCGGGUAAUUUAGAGUCAUUUGCUCUCCUCUUGGAAACGUCGUGUGUAUCAGUGUCACCGAUAUCGGAGAUCAGAAUCUUGUGGCGGGGGAUCUUCAGAGAGCCACUUAGUCUGAGUACGAAACUUGAAACUGUUUUUAAAAGACAUACCUCCAAGGAAGACGGCAACUGGAGAACAGGAGCCCAAGCCAUUGAAUAACCCUGCCACACAGGCUUGACUGCAAAGGAGCAGAAAAGAGGACAGGGAAAGAGCUCCGAGGGUUAGGUCUACGGACAGCUUUAGAUUCAUUUACACAGACAAGCAAGUGUAUUUUUGUUCAAAGCAUAAAUUAAUAGAUUAAAGGAUGUUUGUGCCAGGCUCCUGUGAGAUGCUUCCUCUGAUUUUAGCAUUCGGUUAGCCCCGAGAUAAUGUUCAGAAAAUGCUCUGCAGAAAUUAUGCUAUGUCCCCGACCUUUGUUUAAUGAAACAUCAAGUCAGUUACAGGCCUCUAGAGGAUAAUAUUUAUACCAAAAUGAGACUGUCACUUAGAAUAAAACCCUCAGAACAUUUAUAUUUAUAAAGCAGAUAGCACAGAUAAUUAUACAGAUCCAUAGUUAUAUUUAGCGUACGUUAGUCAUAAUGGGUUCUGUGUUACCUAUUCGUGCUUUCUGAACUCUCUGCCCAGUCGCCCCGCUAUACUUUAACAGGCAGGCACCGAUGCUUGAUGUGGGUCAGAGGCAGGAUCUGGCUCAGAGCCUGUGCGUCUGAAGAUUUUUGUGGGGGUUAUUGUUGUUCUUUUGGUUUGUUUUUUGAGUUUGUAUGUUGGCUUGUUUUAGUCAAAGCCACUAGUUUCCACUGCCUGAUCCCACUGAAGCCCUAAACACA
rnacentral:lncRNA from 1 species